UGGGGACUUCUGUUGAUGGGCGUCCCCUGACCCCUUGUGCUGACCGUUAGUAGCUUAAGCGCUAGCUACGAUAGCACGCGCUUAAUCGUUAGCUCUAUUUGGAGCUAACGCGUUAGCGUGUGUAAACUCACUGUAUUGGCUUACAUUUUUCCUAUUUAACGCAUAGGCUUCGAACAAGCGUGGGAAUUUUUACGCCGCUGUCUACUUUCUUUUAUCACCCCCGCCCUAAAAUCGUAUUAUGGAGGUGCCGGGAAUUGAACCCGGAUCCAGCGGAUUAUUGCAUUGCCACUUGUUUAUUGUUAUAGCUAAGUUAGC
rnacentral:tmRNA from 1 species